rnacentral:rRNA from 1 species
GACGAACGCUGGCGGCGUGCUUAACACAUGCAAGUCGAACGGAAAGGCCCUGCUUUUGUGGGGUGCUCGAGUGGCGAACGGGUGAGUAACACGUGAGUAACCUGCCCUUGACUUUGGGAUAACUUCAGGAAACUGGGGCUAAUACCGGAUAGGAGCUCCUGCUGCAUGGUGGGGGUUGGACAGUUUCGGCGGUUGGGGAUGGACUCGCGGGUUAUCAGCUUGUUGGUGGGGGAGUGGCUUACCAAGGCUUUGACGGGUAGCCGGCAUGGGAGGGGGGCCGGGCACAAUGGGACUAAGAGAGGGCCCAGACGCCUACGGUGGGCAGCAGGGGGGAACAUGACACAAUGAGCGGAAGCCUGUGGAAGCAACGCCGCGUGCGGGAUGACGGCCUUCGGGGUGUAAACCGCUUUCGCCUGUGACGAAGCGUUAGUGACGGUAAUGGGUAAAGAAGCACCGGCUAACUACGUG